CACAACAGUGCCAGAAAUCCAAUCUUCACCGGAAGUAAUUAGUAUGUCGCCAUUGCAAUUACUUGGUCCGCCAUGUUGUGCGUGGGGAUACCUAAGCUAGACACGGAGUGAAUCUGCCUGGGUUUGGUUCUACCUGAGGACUCCAGGGAGAUGCCCUACCCUUGAUAUGCAUCAGUGAAAAUGAAUAAAAAUACAACGGACAGGAUCGGAUAACAACAGCUUCUCCAGAGGUCACUGAUUUCAACUUUAUAAUUUAAAAAAAAAAAUCAAUCCAAGAAAAGAAAAUACUUGCAUAUGAGUUAUCAUAUAAGGCGGAACAGGACGUUCUCGUCUAUCAAAUGUACUGAAAAAUUCGACAACCAACUCAAAGAACGUCGUUUCAUCAUUCCGACGCCAUCGCAGAAAAAAAAAUGUUUUGCAAUAGUUCCUUCAUAAUUUUGACUGAAAUCAAGAAUGAUAUUACAUAAUGUAAAGUACGUCAUAUACAUGGUAUUUUGGGGGAAAGAGGUAAAUAUGUCCUGGACUACUUUCCAUUGUUGAUAUGUCUGACCCAGAAUUAUAACGCUGUGGAACUCUGUCCGGAAAAAGAGAUGUAACUUUCUACUAAUCCAUUCCAGAAUCAACAACCACCACUGCAUCUGCAGAUUUUCAAGAUAAGAAAAUGCAAUAAAAGGCUUAAGUGUU